GUGGGGAAUAUUGGACAAUGGGGGGAACCCUGAUCCAGCCAUGCCGCGUGUGUGAAGAAGGCCUUUUGGUUGUAAAGCACUUUAAGCGAGGAGGAGGCUACCGAGAUUAAUACUCUUGGAUAGUGGACGUUACUCGCAGAAUAAGCACCGGCUAACUCUGUGGCAGCAGCCGCGGUAAUACAGAGGGUGCAAGCGUUAAUCGGAUUUACUGGGCGUAAAGCGCGCGUAGGUGGCCAAUUAAGUCAAAUGUGAAAUCCCCGAGCUUAACUUGGGAAUUGCAUUCGAUACUGGUUGGCUAGAGUAUGGGAGAGGAUGGUAGAAUUCCAGGUGUAGCGGUGAAAUGCGUAGAGAUCUGGAGGAAUACCGAUGGCGAAGGCAGCCAUCUGGCCUAAUACUGACACUGAGGUGCGAAAGCAUGGGGAGCAAACAGGAUUAGAAACCCUAGUAGUCC
rnacentral:rRNA from 1 species